CUAAAGGCUCGUACAGACUACAUGACUUUGAAACGUAGGUCCGAACUGUGCGGUUCACACUACAUGACUUGCUCUCUGUGAAAUCAGGAGUGUUCACGUUGUUGAGCAGUUCACACCACACGACACAACGUGAAUGCCCCACAACAGGAGGUAACGCACUACACGAGUUGAGAACAACUCUAUUACCCAACGAUUCUAUCUUGUCUACAAACCCCGUUCUGUCACGAAAAAUCACGCGAUAAAACAAACCGGAAAUGACGCGAAACUACACGCGCGCCGGUAAAAACCCACAGAAGAAGAAACAAGACGCGCAAAACUUUUGUUUGUAUAUAUAGACUUCAGACAGAAAUUAGUGCUGCAUACCGUUUGCGCGAUGCAAAGCCGCAAAAGAAAAAAAUUAUAGAGAUGUGAUGUGGAGAGGUGGAUCAGAACCACACCCGGACAGCAGGGAUUAAAGAUUUGAGAAUAGGACAGGCUUCGCAAAACAUGAUUUGGAGAGACUUUUGUCUUUGACCCUGCGAUUCUAUGCAACAGGUGACACGUUCAAGUUCAUCAGGUUCAAGUCCAGGAUGGGAGACCAGCACCAUCUCACAAAUAGUUUUGGAUGUUCUGCUCUGUACCAGGUUAUAAAGGACGAUUUCUUGAAGACACCAUCAACGGAAGGAGAGUGGCAUACAAUAGCCAUGGUCUUCGAAAGGAAGUGGCAGUUUCCACAUUGCUUUGGGGUACUUGCUACCACUCCAGCUGUAGCAGACUGCUGACCACAACAUGGAUGAUGGGCAGUG